GAUCCUGGCUCAGGAUGAACGCUAGCUACAGGCUUAACACAUGCAAGUCGAGGGGCAGCAUGACCUAGCAAUAGGUUGAUGGCGACCGGCGCACGGGUGAGUAACACGUAUCCAACCUACCGGUUAUUCCGGGAUAGCCUUUCGAAAGAAAGAUUAAUACCGGAUAGUAUAACGAGAAGGCAUUUUCUUGUUAUUAAAGAAUUUCGAUAACCGAUGGGGAUGCGUUCCAUUAGUUUGUUGGCGGGGUAACGGCCCACCAGG
rnacentral:rRNA from 1 species